rnacentral:rRNA from 1 species
UACGGAGGAUGCAAGCGUUAUCCGGAAUGAUUGGGCGUAAAGCGUCCGCAGGUGGCAAUGUAAGUCUGCUGUCAAAGCGUCUGGCUCAACCAGAUAAAGGCAGUGGAAACUACAUAGCUAGAGUAAGGUAGGGGUAGAGGGAAUUCCUGGUGUAGCGGUGAAGUGCGUAGAGAUCAGGAAGAACACCGGUGGCGAAAGCGCUCUGCUGGACCUUAACUGACACUGAGGGACGAAAGCUAGGGGAGCGAAUGGG